rnacentral:rRNA from 1 species
UUAAAUUGAAGAGUUUGAUCAUGGCUCAGAUUGAACGCUGGCGGCAGGCCUAACACAUGCAAGUCGAACGGUAACAGGAAACAGCUUGCUGUUUCGCUGACGAGUGGCGGACGGGUGAGUAAUGUCUGGGAAACUGCCUGAUGGAGGGGGAUAACUACUGGAAACGGUAGCUAAUACCGCA